GGGAAAUAGGUUUAGGAAUUGUGAGACCUUUGGAGUUCUUUCUCAGAUGAGCAUGAAUGGCGGCGGCGAUAUCUUCAAAUCCCCGGUGAAACAACGCUCCGUUUGCCUCUCCAAUUCUUGCUUCUCGCUCCCCGAUCUCUCUCAAUUUAAGAUGAAGUCGCAGCGGCCACAUCUUCUUAUCCGACGGUGUUUUGCGAUUCCGAGUGUGGUUCCUCGUAUGACUCUUGCGUUGUCGUCGUUUUCGGUGAAAUUGUUGGAGUUUGAUGAGGUUGCGAAGAUGAUGAUUUAUGCAUUGAAGAUGAAAAUGAUGCGUACUAGCUGAGAGGUGUUACGAAAAUGAUGAAGAUCGUAGGUUGACGAUAACGAGAUCGAUGUUGAUUCUCUUGAAAUCGAGAGGAUUAGAGAUUGGCGAAUCUGAUGAUGAAGCUUCAAGAACUCGGUCAGAGGUUCGUUGCAAUGAAGAGAAUCGAUGAAGAUGAUGAAGUGAAGAGGAAUUUGUGAUUUGUUGAAGAAGAUGAAGAAUGUUCAGAGAGAGAUCGUAGGAGAUGAAGGCGCAUAGAUGAUGAAGAAGCCUGAGGAUGAUGAUUGAUUAUGGUGAUGAAGAUUGAUUGAAGAAACUUGGAGAAGAUGAAGGUUCGAUGGAUUGAAGAUGAAGAUUGAAUGGAUUGAAGAUGAGGAUUCAAGAUGAGAGAAAUUUGUUACAAAUUUUGAGUUUUUGUUAUCGAUCCCUGAUCCUUUUCUGUUACAUUUUCUUUUCUGUUACAUUUUCUCGUGAUUGAAUGAUGAAGAUCUUGAUUUCAGAAUGUCGAGAGGACUCAAGGUUGAGAGGAUUAAAUCAAGAGGAGGAUAGGAUCAAGGUUCGAUGGUGGAGAUUGAAGGUGAUAAUUCUGUUACCGGCCUUUUUCCAAUUCUAUUCUCUUUUCUUUUGUUAUGCCAAUUCUUUUCUGAACCGAUCUCCAGUCGUGGGCCCGGUUUUUAUUCUUAUUUUG